rnacentral:rRNA from 1 species
GAUGAACGCUGGCGGCGUGCCUAACACAUGCAAGUCGAGCGAGGGUUUGCUCAGUAUUGAGUAUUCUAAAACUAGAAUGUUCAAUUCUGAGCAAAACCAAGCGGCGGACGGGUGAGUAACGCGUGGGUAACCUGCCCUAUACACAUGGAUAACAUACUGAAAAGUUUACUAAUACAUGAUAAUAUAUAUUGCGGCAUCGCAGAUAUAUCAAAGUGUUAGCGGUAUAGGAUGGACCCGCGUCUGAUUAGCUAGUUGGUGAGAUAACUGCCCACCAAGGCGACGAUCAGUAGCCGACCUGAGAGGGUGAUCGGCCACAUUGGAACUGAGACACGGUCCAAACUCCUACGGGAGGCAGCAGUGGGGAAUAUUGCACAAUGGGCGAAAGCCUGAUGCAGCAACGCCGCGUGAACGAUGAAGGUCUUCGGAUCGUAAAGUUCUGUUGCAGGGGAAGAUAAUGACGGUACCCUGUGAGGAAGCCCCGGCUAACUACGUGCCAGCAGCCGCGGUAAUACGUAGGGGGCUAGCGUUAUCCGGAUUUACUGGGCGUAAAGGGUGCGUAGGUGGUCCUUCAAGUCGGUGGUUAAAGGCUACGGCUCAACCGUAGUAGGCCGCCGAAACUGGAGGACUUGAGUGCAGGAGAGGAAAGUGGAAUUCCCAGUGUAGCGGUGAAAUGCGUAGAUAUUGGGAGGAACACCAGUAGCGAAGGCGGCUUUCUGGACUGCAACUGACACUGAGGCACGAAAGCGUGGGUAGCAAACAGG